ACUCAAAUGAAUAGACGGGAGCCCACACAAGCGGAGGAGCAUCUGGUUUAAUUCGAUAACAAACGAGGAACCUUACCAGGGCUUGACAUCUAGAGAAUCUUUCCGAAAGGAGAGAGUGCCGCAAGGAACUCUAAGACAGGUGCUGCAUGGUUGUCGUCAGCUCGUGCCUUGAGGUGUUCGGUUAAGUCCGUCAACGAGCGCAACCCUCGUCUUGUGUUGUAUGUUCACAAGAGACUGCCCCGGCCAACGGGGAGGAAGGUGGGGAUGACGUCAAAUCAGCAUGGCCCUUAUGCCCUGGGCCACACAGGUGCUACAAUGGUCGGUACAAUGGGGAGCAAAGGAGUAAUCCGAAGCAAAUCCUAAAAAACCGAUCCAAGUUCGGAUUGAGGGCUGCAACUCGCCCUCAUGAAGCUGGAUUCGCUAGUAAACGCGUAUCAGCCAUGGCGCGUUGAAUAUGUUCCUGGGCUUUGUACACACCGCCCGU
rnacentral:rRNA from 1 species